AAUUCUGUUAGGACAUAUCUACUAGGACUGCCAAUGGUACUUCUCCUCCAUUUGGUGUUAGAGUUGGAUUGGAAGUGAUCACUUAUGUUGGAGUGUGUCUCUCAUUAGUUGGACUAAUCUUAACAAUCCUAACAUUGCUGGUAUUCAAAAAAUUAAGAAAGAAAGAUUCCAGCAAGUUUCACAUUCAGCUAUGUCUCUCAUUGUGCUUUGUGCUGAUUAUAUUUGUCACUGGAAUUAGUAGAACAUCAGUGAGGCCACUUUGUAUCAGCAUAGGAGCUCUUAUACAUUACUUCACUCUUGUUUUCUGGAUGUGGAUGGGAGCAGAAGCUGUGCUGAUGUUUCAAAAAAUAGUAAUAGUGUUUACAAACAUAACUUGGCGGUAUAUAUUAAUAGUGUCUAUUGUUUGUUGGACUAUACCUGUUGUUCCAGUUAUGAUCUUAUUGGCAGUUGAUAACGGCUA